rnacentral:rRNA from 1 species
UACGGAAGGCAGCAGUGGGGAAUAUUGCACAAUGGGCGCAAGCCUGAUGCAGCCAUGCCGCGUGUAUGAAGAAGGCCUUCGGGUUGUAAAGUACUUUCAGCGGGGAGGAAGGCGGUGAAGUUAAUAGCUUCACCGAUUGACGUUACCCGCAGAAGAAGCACCGGCUAACUCCGUGCCAGCAGCCGCGGUAAUACGGAGGGUGCAAGCGUUAAUCGGAAUUACUGGGCGUAAAAGCGCACGCAGGCGGUCUGUCAAGUCGGAUGUGAAAUCCCCGGGCUUAACCUGGGAACUGCAUUCGAAACUGGCAGGCUAGAGUCUUGUAGAGGGGGUAGAAUUCCAGGUGUAGCGGUGAAAUGCGUAGAGAUCUGGAGGAAUACCGGUGGCGAAGGCGGCCCCUGGGACAAGACUGACGCUCAGGUGCGAAAGCGUGGGGAGCGAAACGAGGAUUAGGAUAC